ACUCCUACGGGAGGCAGCAGGCGCGAAAACUCUGCAAUGCGCGAAAGCGUGACAGGGGGAAUCUGAGUGGUAGGCAUUUUAGCCUAUCUUUUGCCAAGGCCAAACACCUUGGAGAAUAAGUUCUGGGUAAGACCAGUGCCAGCAGCCGCGGUAAU
rnacentral:rRNA from 1 species